CUAAGGAAAGAAGAGAAACUUUUCCUAUUCAAUUGUGAGUGACCUAUUUUGGGUUACUUGUAUAGAUAUAUAAGAGAAUGAAUGAUCUUUGAAAAUUGCAUAUAGAUAAUCAAAUAAAUGCGAAGAAAAGGUAGCAAGUUAAAUUAUUAGCUAUGCCUAAUAAUUUAAGAGCUGGAAAUAAGAGAGAAAUAAUAAUA
rnacentral:misc_RNA from 1 species